rnacentral:lncRNA from 1 species
UGGCUGCGGGGGACCCCAUUAGCUGGGGGGAUCCAUUGAAUGGGGGGACCCAUUAACUGGGGGGGCCCUGGUAGAUGGGGGGGACAUUAGCUUGAGGGGUCCCAUUUCCUGGGGGGGCCCCUGUAGCUGGGGGGGGCAUUUGCUGCAGGUCCCCUGUUAGUUGGGGGGGGCCCAUUGGCUGAGGAUGCCCAAUUAGCCAGGGGCCCAUUAGCCCCGUUAGCUGGGGGGGCCCCAGUAGCCCCGUUAGCUGGGGGGGCACCGCGGGUGGGCCGUGCCCGUGCCCCCCCCACGGCGUCUCCGCUUGCCCCCAGGUGCCGAGCGCGACCUGGACUCGGAGGAGGCCCUGGCGUCCCAAGGGAUAUGAGACGGCCGAGCCCCACCGGAGACGCCACCCCGGACCCCGCUGCUUCCCGCUGGCUCCCCGUGGCCCCCCCCGGCGCCCCCCAGCCCCGGGGCCGGAGUGGGCUGGACCCCUCCGUGCGCCCCCGGGGCUGGGCCGGGGGGCUGGGGGCUCCCCUGUACCCGCGGCCCCUCGACCCCCAAUAAAGGUCCCUGCAGCAGCCGCCUGGUGUCGUGGCCGGAUCCGGGGGGGGGGACGCGGCCGGGCACCGGCACUGCCAGCCAGCGCGCGGGAGCCCAUCCCYGUGGCCUCCCGGCGCGGGACUCCGGCUCCACCGCAGUUUCCCCUCCUGCAGCGGCACCCGGCUUUGCCAGCCCCGGGACGCCAAAAGCCGGCGAUCGGGAGGAAAUUUGGGGGGGRAAAAGGAAAAAACCCGCCGAGGGCUGUUCGGCCCCGAGUCCCACGAAAGCUUUUGGGCCUCCGCGUUUCCCAGGUCCCUGCGCCGACCCGGAGCCCCCGGGCGUCUCCAUCCGGCCCCGCUGCCCCCGGAGUCGAGCACCCUGCGCUGGGGGGUUCUCCAAGCGCUUUGCAGCAUCCGAGAGCCUGGACGCCAUGGGCAUCCCCCCCGCCCCGUCCCGGCAGCGUUUGCCCAUCGCGGCUCCGGCCGGGAAACGGGAGCCGCUCGCGAUGGGGGAUCCCAGCCCYGGGCAGCUCCCGGCGGUGCCACUGCCUUCGCUGGGCUCCUGCCGCGGUCCCGGGCGCUUCCAGGCCCCGCGGGAGGCUGCUCCAUGGGAAAUCCCMGCGGGAAGGUCGCGGAGCCCCCCGGCCGCGAUGCCGCGUUUCAGACGCCCGAGUGCGGCGGCGUUAUUGUACUUUCCGGCCAGGAAGAUGCGGGCUCCUCUCCCGCAUCCCGCUCCGGCGGGCGUCGCGCAUCCCGCUGCCGGGCGCUUCGGGUGGCCCCCACACCAGACCCCCUCUCCCGGCUCCCACCCACCACCCUCCCCUCCGCAGGGCACCUCCGGCUCCGGCUCCGGCUCUGGCGGAUAGACCCCGCUCUGGGAGAAGGGCACGGGGUGGGCGACCUUGGAAAACCAACCGAAGGGAGACCGAAGCGCCCCAGCGCAGCUCUCCGGCCCCCGGGGGAGGGAGGCUGCCAGCGGCUCCCCAGGCAGAGCCGGGCUGA